GGAGAGGUGACCGAGUGGUUUAAGGUACCGGUCUUGAAAACCGGCGUAUGGAAACAUACCGUGAGUUCGAAUCUCACCUUCUCCGCCA
rnacentral:tRNA from 1 species